GCUGUUAGUCCAUGUGAGUCUCCAUUCUCCACGCUGUGUUGUCGUAACCCUAUCUUCUUCAUCGCUUACCUUUCGACUCCCACCCCUUCCAUUUCUCAUCUCUCCCAAUCCGUUUCAAGGAUUAACUUCACCGCAAUUUCUCAACUUCAUCUCUCUCAAGGCCGAUGGACCCUAAUUUUUCUGUAUCGAAGAAAUGAGCUCUCUCUCUCUUUCGUACGCCGAUGAAUCUUUGACGUCUUAUCUUCCUUUCACCAUCUGAAACGGUCCGGCGUCGUGUUUACUCCAUUGAUUCACUCCCCCCCCACGAUGUCUUCUUCAAUGAUUUGUUCCGAUCUACAAGCCGGUGUUUUUAUGUAUAAAUAUAUGUGAUUAUUUCUCUUCUUGGACUCCAUCUUUGAGCUUGCUUGAUUGAUCAUGAUAAACUAUUGUUUCGUUAAUUUGUUUUUACAUUGUAUCUUAGGGGCAGAGAGUAUGUGAGAGCAAUAGAUAGUGAGAGAGGAGAUAAUGAAUGGUGGUGAUGAGAUCAGAGCUUCGUCGUUUUAGAUCGGAGAUUCUCAGUUCAGGCGAAGAAGUUCGAGAAGGCUGUACUGCUUACAACCAAGGGACUGGACGAGGAACGUCUGUGUUAGAAUUGGUUGCUGCUUUUAAAAAAGCUUCUCGCAAGAAAAUACCUAUCAAGCUUUGUCCGAGAAGGGCAGGAGAUGCAACUGCAGUUUAUGCUUCAACAGAGAGAACUGAGAAAGAACUUGGCUGGAAGUAGAUUGUCUUUUAUUCAACUGAGCCAAGUGUUUCACGAAAAUCAAAGGUGGCUUGAGGUACUUCAGUUCUUUCAGUGAGUGUCAACCUCCACAUGAGAAACAGAGGAUGCAACUUAACAGAGAACUGGGUUUAGGUCCAAGACGGAUCAAGUUUUGGUUUCAGAACCGAAGAAUACAGAAUAAGGCACAACAAGAAAGAGUUGAUAGUUGUGCACUCAAGGAAGAGAAUGAUUGGAUUCAUUGCGAAAACAUUGCCAUUCGAGAAGCUCACAAACACACCAUUUGCCACAACUGUGGUGAUGCUCCUGUUCAUGACGACUCUUUGAUGAACAGAAGCUUUGAAUCUAAAAUGCUUCUAGCUUUUUCUUUACCAUCUCAUGUUCAAAACAAUGAUACUUUGUUCAUAGAGAAGCUCCUCUCAGGCUGUCCUGUUCUUGAAGAUUUCACGGUGUGUAGGGUUUUUGAUGACAGUGUACCUGUUCAGCGUGUGAGAUCUCAGUGUCUUAAGAGGUUUUGUGUAAAGUUUGGCCGUCAAAGAAGAAUUUUUGGUAAAGAGUAUGCGGUUGGUGCCAGUCUAAUGAGAACUGUUAGUAUAAAAUCUUUUUUACUAUUUUUUACUAUAUGUUGUUGAGACCUCACAAGAAAAGUAAGAAAAUAUGAGGAAA